rnacentral:rRNA from 1 species
UACGUAGGGGGCUAGCGUUGUCCGGAAUCAUUGGGCGUAAAGAGCGUGUAGGCGGCUCGGUAAGUCCGCUGUGAAAGUCCAGGGCUCAACCCUGGAAUGCCAGUGGAAACUGUCGAGCUAGAGUCCGGAAGAGGCGAGUGGAAUUCCUGGUGUAGCGGUGAAAUGCGCAGAUAUCAGGAGGAACACCAAUGGCGAAGGCAGCUCGCUGGGACGGUACUGACGCUGAGACGCGAAAGCGUGGGGAGCAA